AGCGAACGCUGGCGGCAGGCUUAACACAUGCAAGUCGAGCGGACCUUUCGGGGUCAGCGGCGGACGGGUGAGUAACGCGUGGGAACGUGCCUUCCGGUUCGGAAUAACCCUGGGAAACUAGGGCUAAUACCGGAUACGCCCUUAUGGGGAAAGGUUUACUGCCGGAAGAUCGGCCCGCGUCUGAUUAGCUAGUUGGUGGGGUAACGGCCUACCAAGGCGACGAUCAGUAGCUGGUCUGAGAGGAUGAUCAGCCACACUGGGACUGAGACACGGCCCAGACUCCUACGGGAGGCAGCAGUGGGGAAUAUUGGACAAUGGGCGCAAGCCUGAUCCAGCCAUGCCGGGUGAGUGAUGAAGGCCUUAGGGUUGUAAAGCUCUUUUAUCCGGGACGAUAAUGACGGUACCGGAGGAAUAAGCCCCGGCUAACUUCGUG
rnacentral:rRNA from 1 species